ACGGGUGAGUAACACGUAAGGAACCUGCCUCAAGGAUUGGGAUAACUCCGAGAAAUCGGAGCUAAUACCGGAUAGUUCAACGGACCGCAUGGUCCGCUGAUGAAAGGCGCUUCGGCGUCACCUUGAGAUGGCCUUGCGGUGCAUUAGCUAGUUGGUGGGGUAACGGCCCACCAAGGCGACGAUGCAUAGCCGACCUGAGAGGGUGAUCGGCCACACUGGGACUGAGACACGGCCCAGACUCCUACGGGAGGCAGCAGUAGGGAAUCUUCCACAAUGGACGAAAGUCUGAUGGAGCAACGCCGCGUGAGUGAUGAAGGUUUUCGGAUCGUAAAACUCUGUUGUAAGGGAAGAACACGUACGAGAGGAAAUGCUCGUACCUUGACGGUACCUUACGAGAAAGCCACGGCUAACUACGUGCCAGCAGCCGCGGUAAUACGUAGGUGGCAAGCGUUGUCCGGAAUUAUUGGGCGUAAAGCGCGCGCAGGCGGCCUUUUAAGUCUGAUGUGAAAGCCCCCGGCUCAACCGGGGAGGGCCAUUGGAAACUGGAAGGCUUGAGUACAGAAGAGA
rnacentral:rRNA from 1 species